rnacentral:rRNA from 1 species
UGUUGAAAGGCGCUUUCGCGCCACUGCAAGGAUGGGCCAGCGGUGCAUAGCUAGUUGGUGGGGUAACGGCCUACCAAGGCGACGAUGCAUAGCCGACCUGAGAGGGUGAUCGGCCACAUGGGACUGAGACACGGCCCAACUCCUACGGGAGGCAGCAGUAGGAAUCUUCCACAAUGGACGAAAGUCUGAUGGAGCAACGCCGCGUGAGUGAUGAAGGUUUUCGGAUCGUAAAACUCUGUUGUAAAGGGAAGAAAAGUACGUUAGGAAAUGAACGUACCUGACGGUACCUUAUUAGAAAGCCACGGCUAAUACGUGCCAGCAGCCGCGGUAAUACGUAGGUGGCAAGCGU